rnacentral:rRNA from 1 species
GACGAACGCUGGCGGCGUGCUUAACACAUGCAAGUCACGGGGGCUGGGGCAACCCAGUAAACCGGCGAACGGGUGCGUAACACGUGAGCGACCUGCCUUUCUGCGGGGGAUAGCCGGCCCAACGGCCGGGUAAUACCGCAUACGCUUCUCUGGGGGCAUCCCCGGGGAAGGAAACCUCCGGGGCGGAGAGAGGGGCUCGCGGCCUAUCAGCUAGUUGGCGGGGUGACGGCCCACCAAGGCGGCGACGGGUAGCUGGUCUGAGAGGAUGGCCAGCCACAUUGGGACUGAGAGACGGCCCAGACUCCUACGGGAGGCAGCAGUGGGGAAUCUUGCGCAAUGGCCUAACGGCUGACGCAGCGACGCCGCGUGUGGGAGGACGCCCCUCGGGGUGUAAACCACUGUUGCCCGGGACGAACCGCUCUAUUCGUAGAGCCUGACGGUACCGGGUGAGGAAGCACCGGCUAACUCCGUGCCAGCAGCCGCGGUAAUACGGAGGGUGCGAGCGUUGUCCGGAAUCACUGGGCGUAAAGGGCGCGUAGGCGGCGGGCCAAGCGUGCGGUGAAAGCCCGGGGCUCAACCCCGGGUCGGCCGUGCGGACUGGUAGGCUGGAGCACUGUAGGGGCAGGCGGAAUUCCGGGUGUAGCGGUGGAAUGCGUAGAGAUCCGGAAGAACACCGGUGGCGAAGGCGGCCUGCUGGGCAGUGGCUGACGCUGAGGCGCGACAGCGUGGGGAGCAAACAGGAUUAGAUACCCUGGUAGUCCACGCCGUAAACGAUGGGCACUAGGUGCCCGGGGGAGCGACCCCCCGGGUGCCGGCGCUAACGCAUUAAGUGCCCCGC